UCGGGAAUUUUGGGCAAUGGGCGAAAGCCUGACCCAGCAACGCCGCGUGAAGGAUGAAGUAUUUCGGUAUGUAAACUUCGAAAGAAUAGGAAGAAUAAAUGACGGUACUAUUUAUAAGGUCCGGCUAACUACGUGCCAGCAGCCGCGGUAAUACGUAGGGACCAAGCGUUGUUCGGAUUUACUGGGCGUAAAGGGCGCGUAGGCGGCAUGACAAGUCACUUGUGAAAUCUCUGGGCUUAACCCAGAACGGCCAAGUGAUACUGUCGCGCUAGAGUGCAGAAGGGGCAAUCGGAAUUCUUGGUGUAGCGGUGAAAUGCGUAGAUAUCAAGAGGAACACCUGAGGUGAAGACGGGUUGCUGGGCUGGCACUGACGCUGAGGCGCGAAAGCCAGGGGAGCAAACGGGAUUAGAUACCCAUGUAGUCCCUGAGCGGGCUGGCAAGGCGCAU
rnacentral:rRNA from 1 species